AAUGAACGCUGGCGGCGCGCCUAAUACAUGCAAGUCGAGCGAGAAGACGUAGCAAUACGUUUGUAAAGCGGCGAACGGGUGAGGAAUACAUGGGUAACCUACCCUCGAGUGGGGAAUAACUAGCCGAAAGGUUAGCUAAUACCGCGUACGCUCCUUGGACUUCGGUUCAGGGAGGAAAGCGAUACCGUGGGUAUCGCGCUCUUGGUUGGGCUCAUGUCCUAUCAGCUUGUUGGUGAGGUAACGGCUCACCAAGGCUUCGACGGGUAGCUGGUCUGAGAGGACGAUCAGCCACACUGGCACUGCGACACGGGCCAGACUCCUACGGG
rnacentral:rRNA from 1 species